GAGAGGAGCUUGCUCCUCGAUUCAGCGGCGGACGGGUGAGUAAUGCCUAGGAAUCUGCCUAGUAGUGGGGGACAACGUUUCGAAAGGAACGCUAAUACCGCAUACGUCCUACGGGAGAAAGUGGGGGAUCUUCGGACCUCACGCUAUUAGAUGAGCCUAGGUCGGAUUAGCUAGUUGGUAGGGUAAAGGCCUACCAAGGCGACGAUCCGUAACUGGUCUGAGAGGAUGAUCAGUCACACUGGAACUGAGACACGGUCCAGACUCCUACGGGAGGCAGCAGUGGGGAAUAUUGGACAAUGGGCGAAAGCCUGAUCCAGCCAUGCCGCGUGUGUGAAGAAGGCCCUCGGGUCGUAAAGCACUUUAAGUUGGGAGGAAGGGCUUACAGCGAAUACCUGUGAGUUUUGACGUUACCGACAGAAUAAGCACCGGCUAACUUCGUGCCAGCAGCCGCGGUAAUACGAAGGGUGCAAGCGUUAAUCGGAAUUACUGGGCGUAAAGCGCGCGUAGGUGGCUUGAUAAGUUGGAUGUGAAAUCCCCGGGCUCAACCUGGGAACUGCAUCCAAAACUGUCUGGCUAGAGUGCGGUAGAGGGUAGUGGAAUUUCCAGUGUAGCGGUGAAAUGCGUAGAUAUUGGAAGGAACACCAGUGGCGAAGGCGACUACCUGGACUGACACUGACACUGAGGUGCGAAAGCGUGGGGAGCAAACAGGAUUAGAUACCCUGGUAGUCCACGCCGUAAACGAUGUCAACUAGCCGUUGGGAUCCUUGAGAUCUUAGUGGCGCAGCUAACGCAUUAAGUUGACCGCCUGGGGAGUACGGCCGCAAGGUUAAAACUCAAAUGAAUUGACGGGGGCCCGCACAAGCGGUGGAGCAUGUGGUUUAAUUC
rnacentral:rRNA from 1 species